rnacentral:lncRNA from 1 species
AGUCCAAAGAGCCUUGGACUUUAUCCUCUUUGUGCUGCCCAAACAAAACUAAUUGCAACCAGAUUUUAUAGGCUAAAAAGAGAGGAUUUCUUUUUUUUACAUGCCAAAAAGUGAAGGAAUAUGGUGUCAAAAAUUAGUUAUGGCAUGGACCAUAGGGGGUGCACAAAUCUAAGGAGGAUGUGGAGUCCUUUUGGUGCAAG